rnacentral:rRNA from 1 species
GGGGAGCUUGCUCCCUGGGUGACGAGCGGCGGACGGGUGAGUAAUGUCUGGGAAACUGCCUGAUGGAGGGGGAUAACUACUGGAAACGGUAGCUAAUACCGCAUAACGUCGCAAGACCAAAGAGGGGGACCUUCGGGCCUCUUGCCAUCAGAUGUGCCCAGAUGGGAUUAGCUAGUAGGUGGGGUAAUGGCUCACCUAGGCGACGAUCCCUAGCUGGUCUGAGAGGAUGACCAGCCACACUGGAACUGAGACACGGUCCAGACUCCUACGGGAGGCAGCAGUGGGGAAUAUUGCACAAUGGGCGCAAGCCUGAUGCAGCCAUGCCGCGUGUGUGAAGAAGGCCUUCGGGUUGUAAAGCACUUUCAGCGAGGAGGAAGGUGGUGAGCUUAAUACGUUCAUCAAUUGACGUUACUCGCAGAAGAAGCACCGGCUAACUCCGUGCCAGCAGCCGCGGUAAUACGGAGGGUGCAAGCGUUAAUCGGAAUUACUGGGCGUAAAGCGCACGCAGGCGGUUUGUUAAGUCAGAUGUGAAAUCCCCGGGCUCAACCUGGGAACUGCAUUUGAAACUGGCAAGCUAGAGUCUCGUAGAGGGGGGUAGAAUUCCAGGUGUAGCGGUGAAAUGCGUAGAGAUCUGGAGGAAUACCGGUGGCGAAGGGGCCCCUGGACGAAGACUGACGCUCAGGGCGAAGCGUGGGGAGCAACAGGAUUAGAUACCUGGUAGUCCCGCUGUAACGAUGUCGAUUUGGAGGUUGUGCC